rnacentral:rRNA from 1 species
CCUACGGGAGGCAGCAGCGAGGGAUUUUCGGCAAUGGGCGCAAGCCUGACCGAGCAACGCCGCGUGCGGGACGACGCCCCUCGGGGUGUAAACCGCUUUUGCCGGGGGCGAGAAUGACGGUACCCGGCGAAUCAGCCUCGGCUAACUACGUGCCAGCAGCCGCGGUAAGACGUAGGAGGCGAGCGUUGUCCGGAUUUACUGGGCGUAAAGCGCGCGCAGGCGGCCCCGCAGGUCGGUAGUGAAAGCCCCCGGCUCAACCGGGUGGAGGCGACCGAAACCGCGGGGCUGGAGGGCGAUAGAGGGUGGUGGAAUUCCCGGUGUAGUGGUGAAAUGCGUAGAGAUCGGGAGGAACACCCGCGGCGAAGGCGGCCACCUGGGUCGACCCUGACGCUGAGGCGCGAAGGCCGGGGGAGCGAACGGGAUUAGAUACCCCGGUAGUC